AAAGAACCCAACAGGGAUUGCCUUAGUAACGGCGAGUGAAGCGGCAACAGCUCAAAUUUGAAAGCUGGCCCUUUUAGGGUCCGCAUUGUAAUUUGUAGAGGAUGAUUCGGCGAGGGCUCCUGCCUAAGUCCCCUGGAACGGGGCGUCAUAGAGGGUGAGAAUCCCGUAUGCGGUAGGUUGCCUUAGCCAUGUGAAUCUCCUUCGACGAGUCGAGUUGUUUGGGAAUGCAGCUCUAAAUGGGAGGUAAAUUUCUUCUAAAGCUAAAUACCGGCCAGAGACCGAUAGCGCACAAGUAGAGUGAUCGAAAGAUGAAAAGCACUUUGGAAAGAGAGUUAAAAAGUACGUGAAAUUGUUGAAAGGGAAGCGCUUGCAACCAGACUUGUCCGCAGUUGCUCAGCCGGUCUCCUGACCGGCGUACUCUUCUGCGGCCAGGCCAGCAUCAGUUCGGGCGGUCGGAUAAAGGCCUCGGGAAUGUGGCUCCUCUCGGGGAGUGUUAUAGCCCGGGGUGCAAUGCGGCCAGCCUGGACUGAGGAACUCGCUUCGGCAAGGAUGCUGGCGUAAUGGUUGUAAGCGGCCCGUCUUGAAACACGGACCAAGGAGUCUAACAUCUAUGCGAGUGUUCGGGUGUCAAACCCGUACGCGUAAUGAAAGUGAACGGAGGUGGGAACCCGCAAGGGUGCACCAUCGGCCGAUCCUGAUGUCUUCGGAUGGAUUUGAGCAAGAGCAUAGCUGUUGGGACCCGAAAGAUGGUGAACUAUGCCUGAAUAGGGUGAAGCCAGAGGAAACUCUGGUGGAGGCUCGCAGCGGUUCUGACGUGCAAAUCGAUCGUCAAAUUUGGGUAUAGGGGCGAA
rnacentral:rRNA from 1 species